UCCCCUUGUGAGAUUGAAUUAAAAUGACAAAACAAAGUUACAUUGGUUUCGUUUUUUUUUUCUGAUUAUAUUUUAAUUUAUUUUUAUAAUAUGCUUAUUACAUCGUGGAGGAAAAAACAGCUAUGACUAAUUUGAAAAUUAGUAUAACAUUAUGCGUUGUACAAUCAGAACACAAAAUUUUCAUUCUUUUUAAUGAAAAUAAAUAUUCUGAGAUAAGUUACAACUUUGUAUUAAUACUUGUGUUUAUUUUUAGUUAUUAUAUUGAAAGAAAGAGAAGAACUUUAAUUGAACCUAAAGUAGAAAGAUAGAAACAUAAAAAUGAGUGGACAAGUAAGAAAAGAGAGAGAAGGAGAAUUAGAAGUAGUUAAGAAAUAAUAAGAAAAAAGCACUCGUGCCAAAAACGAAGAGUGGAUGAAAAUUACUUCAGAAUUCAAGGCAAGUUCUACGUUCAUAAACAGGGAAUCGCAGGUGCUUAAAAAUCUGUGGGAAAAUAACUAAAAAAAAAAAGCUAAAUUUGUUAGGACGCAACAGAAUAAAAACAUUUUUGCCACAGGUAGGUUGCAUAUUAAAAUCACAAAUUCUAAAUGCAUUUCAGCAUGAUUAAACUUCUUCUAAUCACCAAUUCUUAAUCUAGGAGACGUAGCACCAAAGAAAUUUAAAGAAGAUCCAACUCUGGAAAGAGUCAUUACAUUGAUUUGACCCAAUGUUCAAGGUUUUGUGAAUACCUUUGACAAUGAUGGACCUAUUAUCUCAGUCUUUAAAAAAAAUGAUAAGGAUACUGAUUGUUCGGAAAUAAGUCUCACCGCAAGCAAAAUAAAGUUUGGCUCAAGGGGGCAGCGCAAAUAGAGCACUCUUUGGCGUCCCAGCACCUAGGCGCAUGCGUGACACCAAUUCUCCUUAGGGAUUGGUUAGCGUGAACGGCCAAUGAGAAGGAAGAGAAAGGUUCCAUUUUUAAUAAGUUGGCACUACUUACAGAGCCAGAUCUUACUUACUACAGAUAUGACACGUGUUUUAUAAGUUCCUUGGCUUUGUAGAAAUUGUUAAGAAAAUAUACAGAUAUAUUUUUGUCGUAAACAAA